CUAAGAAUAUUCCGCAAUGGACGGAAGUCUGACGGAGCGACGCCGCGUGGAUGAAGAAGGCCGAAAGGUUGUAAAGUUCUUUUGCUAGGGGAGAAUAAGUGUGGGAGGGAAUGCCUGCACGAUGACAAGGACUAGCGAAUAAGUCCCGGCCAACUACGUGCCAGCAGCCGCGGUAACACGUGGGGGGCGAGCGGUGUUCGGAAGUACUGGGCGUAAAGGGAAUGUAGGCGGCUUGGUAAGCCUGGCGUGAAAGUCUGCAGCUUAACUGUAGGGAUGCGUUGGGCACUGCUUAGCUUGAGUUACGGAGAGGGAGCUGGAAUUCCUGGUGUAGGGGUGAAAUCUGUAGAUAUCAGGAAGAACACCGAUGGCGAAGGCAAGCUUCUGGCCGACAACUGACGCUGAGGUGCGAAAAUGUGGGGAUCAAACAGG
rnacentral:rRNA from 2 species